rnacentral:tmRNA from 1 species
GCUGUUCCCGUUUUAUUAGACUGUGUUACUAUGAAUUGUCGGGGAGGAAUCUUUCGACUAUGACGAUAAAGAUUGGCUAGAAUAGGUGAUAUGGACCCGGGGGCAGUACCCGGCGCCUCCACUUCGUACGGUUUGCAAGCGAAAGCUUUAGAUCAGCUACGGGGGCGACACAGCUUUGACAUGCACAAUAAAGGGUCGGUGUUCGUUCGUUAUUGCUCCGUCGUUAUCGGGCAAAAAAGUAUAGAUGCCAAAAACAUUAGCAUCUCGGGUGUUGCGAAUCGGAACCGCCGUAAUGGGCGUAGCCGCGUAGCAGCGAACGGCAAUCGUCAAAAGAUGAAUGUCGCUGCCUAGUUUGCCUAACGGCAGGUUAGUCAGGUAAAGACCCGCGGUUGAGGGCGACCGGGCAACAGAACGCCCUCUUA